rnacentral:rRNA from 1 species
GAGGUGAAAUUCGUAGAUAUUAGAAAGAAUACCAAUUGCGAAGGCAGCUUUCUGGAUCAUUACUGACACUGAGGAACGAAAGCAUGGGUAGCGAAGAGGAUUAGAUACCCUCGUAGUCCAUGCCGUAAACGAUGUGUGUUAGACGUUGGAAAUUUAUUUUCAGUGUCGCAGCGAAAGCGAUAAACACACCGCCUGGGGAGUACGACCGCAAGGUUAAAACUCAAAUGAAUUGACGGGGACCCGCACAAGUAGUGGAGCAUGUGGUUUAAUUCGAAGAUACGCGCAGAACCUUACCAACACUUGACAUGUUCGUCGCGACUCUAAGAGAUUAGAGUUUUCGGUUCGGCCGGACGAAACACAGGUGCUGCAUGGCUGUCGUCAGCUCGUGUCGUGAGAUGUUGGGUUAAGUCCCGCAACGAGCGCAACCCUCACUUUUAGUUGCCAUCAUUAAGUUGGGCACUCUGAAAGAACUGCCAGUGAUAAGCUGGAGGAAGGUGGGGAUGACGUCAAGUCCUCAUGGCCCUUACGUGUUGGGCUACACACGUGCUACAAUGGUAUCUACAACAGGAAGCAAGACUGCGAAGUUAAGCAAAUCCCUAAAAGAUACCUCAGUUCGGAUUGCACUCUGCAACUCGAGUGCAUGAAGCUGGAAUUACUAGUAAUCGUGGAUCAGCGUGCCACGGUGAAUGCGUUCCCGGGUCUUGUACACACCGCCCGUCACACCAUGGGAGUUGGUUCUACCUUAAGGCAAGGUUUAAAACCCUUGACCACGGUAUAGUCAGCGACUGGGGUGAAGUCGUAACAAGGUAACCGUA